rnacentral:rRNA from 1 species
GACGAACGCUGGCGGCGUGCUUAACACAUGCAAGUCGAACGGAAAGGCCCUGCUUUUGUGGGGUGCUCGAGUGGCGAACGGGUGAGUAACACGUGAGUAACCUGCCCUUGACUUUGGGAUAACUUCAGGAAACUGGGGCUAAUACCGGUAGGAGCUCCUGCUGCAUGGUGGGGGUUGGAAAGUUUCGGCGGUUGGGGAUGGACUCGCGGCUUAUCAGCUUGUUGGUGGGGUAGUGGCUUACCAAGGCUUUGACGGGUAGCCGGCCUGAGAGGGUGACCGGCCACAUUGGGACUGAGAUACGGCCCAGACUCCUACGGGAGGCAGCAGUGGGGAAUAUUGCACAAUGGGCGGAAGCCUGAUGCAGCAACGCCGCGUGCGGGAUGACGGCCUUCGGGUUGUAAACCGCUUUCGCCUGUGACGAAGCGUGAGUGACGGUAAUGGGUAAAGAAGCACCGGCUAACUACGUG